CUCUCCCCAUUUUCCAAUUAUAUGCCCUCUCCAUUUCCCGUACACCAAAACACACCCUAGAGUCUCUAUGUUUUCUUUUUGCAAAUUCAUUAUGGUCUUCACUUUUGUCAUUCUCUCAAGUCUCAAUAUGCUUGCUUUAUGUGGAUCUCUUUAGGGAUAUGUCAGUUACUUUUCAAGGUAAGAUCUAAUAUAUUCGUCCCAGUUUACAAUUUAUGUCCAUAUUUUUUUUAGUCCGUUAUCUAAAAAAAAGUAUCAUAUUUUUGUUAUUGAAAAUAAUUUAAAUUUUUCUUCUUUAAUAAAAUUAUUUAUAUAGUCAAACUAAUGGUUAAAGAAUAUUUUGAUCACAGAUCUUUGUUAAACUUUUUAUCAAAUAAAAUAAUGUCACAUAAAUUAAAACGCGGAGAGUAAUUUAUUUAUUAUUUCCUUCCCACUCACCCAACUCCCCAAACUCCUACCCAUUGACCAUCCCAUCCCAACCCCCCUUCUUCCACUCCUAUAGUAUUUUGUUAGCUACCUUAACUUCGAUGCACCUUGUUGGUAAGGAUUCGAUUCUUCACAUUGUAAUUCUCUUCCCAUUUUCCGAUUAUAUGCCCUCCCCAUUUCUCGUUCCCGUACCCCAAAACACACUUUAGAGUCUCUAUGUUUUCUUUUUGCAAAUUCAUUAUGGUCUUCCCUUUGUCAUUCUCUCAAAUCUCAACAUGCUUGCUUUAUGUGGAUCUCUUUAGGGAUAUGUCAACUACUUUUCAAGGUAAGAUCUAAUAUAUUCGUCCCAAUUUACAAUUUAUGUGCUAUAUUUUUUUUAGUCCGUUAUCCAAAAAAAGUAUCAUAUUUUUGUUAUUGAAAAUAAUUUAAUUUUUCUUCUUUAAUAAAAUGAUUUAUAUAGUCAAACUAAUGGUUAAAGAAUAUUUUGAUCACAAAUUUAAAAGUCUUCAAUUCUUUGUUAAUUUUUUUGUCAAAAAAAUAAUGUCACAUAAAUUAAAACGCAGGGAGUAAUUUAUUUCUCUCCUUGUAUCCAAAAAUAGUGAGUUGCUAUAUAUAUGCACAAACUUUUAUUUAUUUCAUCUUAUUUUCCUAUGUCAUAGAUCAAACCAUUACAAUAUGCUUGUGUGGACCAUUUUUUGUAGUGAAUCUUUGCUGUAAAUUAACGAGGGACUACUUGUUCUUUUAUAUCUUUUUCCCAUAGAGAAUAUGAUGCAGUCACAAUUACUUUUAUGAGAUUCUUACACUGAGUCAUAUACUGAAUGGUCCAUAUAUAUAAUAAAGUUAUUCCCCAAGAAACAGAAACAAAAUUUUCCAUCAUAUCUUUAAUUAUAGAUUCCACAAAGGUUCAAUUAUAGCAAAUAAAAGUUCAAGAAUAAUUUAGUGGUGGCGUAAUGGUGGAUUGGAUUGAUUUUGGACGGGUUAAAAAUGAGUUCAUAUAAAAUGGAUAAUAAUCGAGUAUGUCUAUAUUUUAUUUGAAGGUUGUUAGAUAGUUAACAUUAUGUCGAAAUUAGGUCUUUUAGCUAUAUUUUGACUAUUUACAAUUUGUAGACAUUACUGCUUGAUGUUAAAAGAUACUUCGAAUACAAAUAACAUUUAAUGCGGUGCAUCAACUGUGGAACAAUAUUUUUUUAAGAAAGAAAUUCAGCAUAAAUCACGUUCUUUGAUAUCUCGAUCUUUCAUAAUCAAUGGACCUCUAAAAUAUCAUAAGAUCAUUUCCAUAAUAAAAUAAAGUGGAUUGCACUUUGCACUAUAGAGUCUCUUCUUCUUCUUUUUUGAUUUCGUUGUAUCAUUGACUAUUACGUGUACAACAUUGAUAUACUUGAAUAUGUUGAUACAAGAUUAAUAUAAAUAUACUCUAGAGAUGAAUACACUAUAAAAACACUCGAAUAUAAAAAUAUAAAUCUAUAAUUGUAAAUAUAUACACUCAAAUGCAUGACACAAAUGUAUGAUAAGGAACUAAUACUGUCACGCCCUGAGCCUACACCUUGGACAUGGCCGGUACUUGAGAACCAUCAUUGGUCCCCAAGCAAACCCUUGACCUGGCUGAAUACUGUAGCGGAAGACUUACUCAAGUAAAAUGGGACUCCAAAUACCAAGAUUAACUCAUAAUGUCUCAAACAACUUAACUCAACUUAGUAAAUAUCAGGAAAUGCUUAAAUAAACAUAAAGUGACUCAAAGUCUCAAAAUAUUAACAAGGUAAAAUGUGAGAGACUCUUCAACAUCUAAACUAUCUAUGAAGCCUCUAAAACUACGAUAGAUUUCGGGACAAGAUCCUCAACAACUUAACAAAGCAGAAAUAAUAAUGUGAUGCCCUCCGGAAAGCAAGAAGGUUCACCAAAGCUAGCUGGAGUGCAAAUGGUAUCAACAAAACGCCUAUUGAUGACCCUAAACACCUGUGUUUGCAUCAUAAAAACAUGCAGGUCGAAUGACGUUAGUACAUUAAAUGUACGAGCAUGCAAGGGAAAAACUGAGACAUAGAUAAUUGAACUGAUAACAUGGGAAGAUAAUACUCACCUCAACUCAACUCCAAUAUGAAAACAAUAAUAAGAGAUGCAAUAUUAAAAGCAUUUAAAACAGUAGAUAACAACUCAAAGUGUAUAAAAAUACAAUAAUAUACUAUUUACUCUUAUUUUGGGAGAUUCUCGAACCGACAACCAUCAUUAUGAGCUACCUGAUGAUACAGUGUCUCGCCCACGCUGCCAGAACUGUCCUAUAACUUGGCGGGGUAUAUAACACUUCAACUAAGUGGAUUCCACUAAGCUAUGCUUAAAAGCAAUAAGGAAUCGUCUAAAAAGUACGACUCUUUACCCAUGGUGGCUACAUGAUUUAUGAGAAAUGUGAGUUGUUUGAACUCAUCCACAUAUCAGUGCUCAAUACUACUCCCAAAAAUAUAUAAACUCAGGCUCAAUGUAUUAAACAUAACUUUCUCUUAAUUUGAGGUAAUUACUCAAAAGAUCCUCUUAAAAGAGGUAAUACUCAGAACAUUCUCUAAACUCAUAACUAAUUUAGAAAUUGACGUUUCUCUCUUUAAAAAUGUAAAAAUGUUACAAUCGGGAAUACUUAGUUCCCUAAUACUCAUUUUUGAAACAUGAAACAUAACUCUCUUCAUUCUCAUACUCAUUUACUCAAGACUUAGUUCAAAUCUAUAGUUAAUUGCGAAAGACUUCUCAAAAUGAUCAAAAAGGGACCUCUUGAACUUUCCUUUUAACUUUACUUUAAUUUGAAAUGUAAAUUAAGACAUGUGAUUAGGACAUGUAGGAUCUCUCAAGGAUUAAUAAAGACUUCAAGAGUUUAAAACAAGAAGAGAACGUAGACAUGAUUCGAAAGAAUGCAUACAGAAUGAAGGACGGAGAAGAAAAGGGUCUGACGAUCCUAGAGCAUUAUUGGCGUAGCACCCCAAACCUUCAGCACCCAGGUCCUGGUGCCUUAAGGGCGCACCGCCCCACCCAAAACCCCAGAAAUCCGAUGAAUUUUCUACUCAAUUACGGGUCCUAACUCAUCUAGAAUCGAUUAGUUUCUUCCAAAACUCUCUUUGAUUCACAAACCUAACACGAAUUCAUUGAAAUUCUACAUAAUUCCUAUCAAGAAACACAACUCAUACUCAAGAAACUCAAAACCUCCAUUGUUAAAUAAUGCAGUUAAAAUCAAGAACUUCUCAAGAAUCUUUAAAUAAACAAGGGAAAAGGGUCUGAUAUACCCCUCAACUUUGUCAUUUAGAGCUGAUAUACCCCUCGUUAUGAAAGUGGCUCAUAUAUACCCCUACUUAUAUAUAAAUGGCUCACAUAUACCCUUUUCCUCUAACGAAAAUAAAAAAUAAUAAUUUCAGGUUAGUUUUUUAUUAUUUUAAAAAAUAUAUAUAAUCCCAUAUGAGUAUAUUUAAUCCUCCUCAAACAUAUAUAUAUUUUUUNNNNNNNNNNNNNNNNNNNNNNNNNNNNNNNNNNNNNNNNNNNNNNNNNNNNNNNNNNNNNNNNNNNNNNNNNNNNNNNNNNNNNNNNNNNNNAUAGUUUUAAAUUAUAAUAUAGCCACAAAAAAAUAGUUUUAAAUUUUUUUCUUUACACUAAGGAAUGAAAGAAAAAAAUAAAAUAAGAAUAAGAAACUCAAAUAAUUAUAAUAAAAGAAGUCAAAAAAUAAUUUAUGUAUGAAAAAGAUUAAAAUAUACCUUGAACUUUGCUAGAAGAAUCAUAUAUACCCCUAAAUAAUUUUUAAGAAAAUUAAAAGUCAAAAAAAUAAAUUUAAAACUAACUUUUUCACUUCCGUUAAAUGAAGGGUAUAUGUGAGCUCAUUUUGUAACAGUAGGGGUAUAUGUGAGCCGUUUGUAUAACGGUAAGGGUAUAUAUGAGCCACUUUCAUUACGAGGGGCAUAUCAGCUCCAAAUGACAAAGUUGAGGGGUAUAUCAGGCCCUUUUCCCAAUAAACAAUUUCAUUAACGAAUUCAUGGAUGAAUUACAUGUGUGGAGUGAGGAAUAAUGAUUCCAUCACUAUGGGAAACCUAACAUACCUGGAAAGAAUGAUAUUUUUGGUGAAAUUCUACAUUUUUUUAUGAACGCUUGAACUUAGCCCUUUUUCUCUUCUUGAAACUUCACUCUAAAUUUCCAAGUGUUUAGGAAUGUGAAAAAUUAACUUAGCGUCUAAUUAGACCCUUAACUUGAGUGAGGAAAACGUGGUCAAGCCUAGUGGGGUAAGGAAAAGACCAAAAUACCCUUUUCUCAAACAGAUGAAACGCCUUAACUAGAGAGGCUUCAGUCGAAUGGCCAUAACUUCUUACUCCAAGCUUGAAAUUUAGCAAACUUGGUGGCGUUGGAAAGAAGACUCAAAGACCUUCGAUUUGAUAGUUCAUGGACCAUCUAACUCUUUAUAUGCUAAAAUAUAUGGUGGUUUGAAAUUGAUCCAAAACUAAAAACUGAUCGAAGUUCGAGGUGUUACAAAUACUCUUAAAUAUAUUGAUAUAAAUUUAUACUCCCUCCGUCCCAUUUUAUGUGAGGUACUUUGACUCGGCACGGAGUUUAAGAAAGAAAGGAAGAUUUUUAAAACUUGUGGUCCAAAAUGAAUGAUAGAAAUUUGUGUGGCUGUAAAUCAUUAUAUUAAGGAUAAAAUAGACAUUUUAUAGUUAAAUUGUUACUUAAUAUAUAAAUGUGUCAUUCGUUUUGGUACUGACUAAAAAUGAAAGUAAGUCACAUAAAUUGGGACGGAGGGAGUAACAAAUUGUAGAUACACUUGAAUACAUUGAUACAAAAUGAAUAAAAUGAGCAUAUACAAUACAUUGAUAUAAAUGUAUAAUUGGUAGCAGAUACAGACAAAUACAUUUGAUACAAAUAUAUAACAAUGAACAUAUACACUCAAAUACAUUAAUACACUACAUAUACAUAUGUAUUUAUACAUGAAUAGAAUGCAUAUAUAAGUGUGUUUGAUUCCUUGAAAAAUUCAUCAAAUCUAACUCAAAUUUACACCAAAAUUCCUUGAAUUCAAGAUAUAUACUCCUUAUGAUAUAUUCAAUCUUUCAAAACAUCACUCAUUUAAAUUUAGUAACAAAUUUAUAUACCGGCAAUUUAAACUUAAUAAGCUUCAAAGUUUUCUUUCAUAGUUGUUGAUGGAGUUUCGUAAAUCAUUACGAAUCAAAGAUGACGUUGCUUUGUUGGAGCUAGGAAGCACAAUGCCGUUAAAUUUAAAUUUGGAGAUAUUUCGAAAGAAUCAUCUUUGAAAGAAAAGAAGGAAAAAUUAUUUCAACUUGAUUGUUAUAUUAAUAUAAAAAUUGGAUGUCUUACUAAGAGUUAACUAAAAUUAGUUAUAGAGCCAUUGAAGAAAUCUUAUGCAAUGUAUGUUGAUAUAUUCCAGACAUGAUCGGUUAGCCUCAUAGAAUCGGGUAAUUUUAAUAAUGAAAUACUUAACCGACUUGUGACUUGUUGCAGGAAAAGAAAGAAAAAGAUGAGCCAAACAUAUAACACCUAAAGAAGGAGAAAAUAUGUUCAUCAAUCAAGGGAUGCAGAAGAUAUUCAAGAUAGCCAAAAUCAUCAAUCAAGGCAAAGAAAUAAAAAAGGAAAGAAGUCAAAACACACUACCUCAAGAGGGAAAGCCAUGUGUUGUACGAGACACAAAAGGAAAACAAAUAAAUCAAGAUUCCAACAUUCAAGGAACAUAUCAAUCAAGAAAUAUCCAAGACCAAGCAUUAAUUCUAGAAUUUGCCUAGGAUGAAGCAAAUUAACGAAAGAUAUGAAACUCCAUCAGUCAAGGGAUACAUUCAAGAUAGCAAAUAUCAGCCAACAUCAAAAACUACAAAGGAAGAAAUUGAAAUCAAGGGUUGCAUUCAAGAUACGAAGAUUCAAG
rnacentral:lncRNA from 1 species